rnacentral:misc_RNA from 1 species
AAGAAAAAAAAGAAACGAUUAAGAGGGAAGCACAAUCUCCAAAUACAUAGAAACAAUUACCAAAAGGAAUAAAAGGUGUUUAAUCAUGGUAUGACCAAUUUCCCAACUAUAACAAAGAGUGAUGGCUGCUACAGAAGUAAAUGCUAACAAACAAACCCUAUGAAGCAAAGGUGGGAGCUUUGCGCGACAUAAGUAAUGAGAAUUUUGUGUGUGCAAGAAGCUCAUACCAACUCUACAAAGACCUCUUUUACUACAUGUUUCCUACCUGUAAAACUAACUCUCUCUCUUCUCUUUGUAGAAUGAGAAAUGAAACCAUAGUGUGUGUGCA